rnacentral:rRNA from 1 species
CCUACGGGAGGCAGCAGUGGGGGAUAUUGCACAAUGGGGGAAACCCUGAUGCAGCGACGCCGCGUGUGGGAAGACGGUCCUCUGGAUUGUAAACCACUGUCCCCAGGGACGAAGAUGACGGUACCUGGGGCGGAAGCUCCGGCUAACUACGUGCCAGCAGCCGCGGUAAUACGUAGGGAGCGAGCGUUGUCCGGAAUUACUGGGUGUAAAGGGAGCGUAGGCGGGACUGCAAGUUGGGUGUCAAAUCUACCGGCUCAACCGGUAGCCGCACUCAAAACUGCAGUUCUUGAGUGAAGUAGAGGCAGGCGGAAUUCCUAGUGUAGCGGUGAAAUGCGUAGAUAUUAGGAGGAACACCAGUGGCGAAGGCGGCCUGCUGGGCUUUUACUGACGCUGAGGCUCGAAAGUGUGGGGAGCAAACAGGAUUAGAUACCCGAGUAGUC